UACGGAGGGUGCGAGCGUUGUCCGGAAUCACUGGGCGUAAAGGGCGCGUAGGCGGCAUGCCAAGCGUGUGGUGAAAGCCCGGGGCUCAACCCCGGGUCGGCCGUGCGGACUGGCGUGCUCGAGCACUGUAGGGGCGGGUGGAAUUCCGGGUGUAGUGGUGGAAUGCGUAGAGAUCCGGAGGAACACCAGCGGCGAAGGCGGCAUCCUGGACUGGUCCUGACACUCAGGAGCGAAAGCGUGGGGAGCGAUCCGG
rnacentral:rRNA from 1 species